rnacentral:tRNA from 2 species
GCGCAGUUGGCGUAGCGGUCAACGCGUUCACCACUCAGGUGAAAGACCCAGGUUCGAUUCCUGGACUGCGCA